rnacentral:tRNA from 1 species
UAGGAAGUGGUGUAAUGGAAGCGCUGAGGGUUUUGAUCUCUCAAGUAUGGGUUCGAGUCCCUUCUUUCUAA